rnacentral:lncRNA from 1 species
ACCCGGCUCGCCCGAUCACGAACCCACUCCACCUCAAGUAGCAUUGGCUCUGGAGAAAGUCCCUUCAGCAGGUCUGUGACCAGCAAUCAGUCAGAUGGAACUCAAGAAUCCUGGGUCACACCAGCCAGGGAGACCCUCUGGGAAGAAGCUGCCACACACAAGGACUCUGGAAGGAUCCACAUGUGAGCCCAGCCAGGGUCAUACGGUUCCCAACCUGAGGAAAAGGUUUUUCACACACUCCUUGCUUUCUGCUGAGAUAAGAAAGGUGUCACUCUGCAGAGUGUGACUUUUUACAGGUUAAAUAAAGCUGUAUAUGUCUCAUUGUU